rnacentral:rRNA from 1 species
GUAGGUGGCAAGCGUUGUCCGGAAUUAUUGGGCGUAAAGCGCGCGCAGGCGGUUCUUUAAGUCUGAUGUGAAAGCCCACGGCUCAACCGUGGAGGGUCAUGGGAAACUGGAGAACUUGAGUACAGAAGAGGAAAGCGGAAUUCCACGUGUAGCGGUGAAAUGCGUAGAGAUGUGGAGGAACACCAGUGGCGAAGGCGGCUUUCUGGUCUGUAACUGACGCUGAGGCGCGAAAGCGUGGGGGGAGCAAACAGGAUUAGAUACCCUGGUAGUCCACGCCGUAAACGAUGAGUGCUAAGUGUUAGGGGGUUUCCGCCCCCCCCUUAGUGCUGCAGCUAACGCAUUAAGCACUCCGCCUGGGGAUACGGCCGCAAGGCUG